AGAAAAACUCAGUGCCUUAAACCGGGUGGAUGGUUAAAUGAUGAGGUGAUAAAUUUGUACCUUUGUUUGUUCAAAGAGAGGGAGGAAAGAGAACCACAAAAGUUUUUGAAGUGUCAUUUUUUCUCUACCUAUUUCUAUGCAAAGAUAAGUGGCAUUGAAGGUUAUGAUUACAACUCUGUCAGUAAAUGGACGGACAAAAUUGGAUAUGAACUACUUGAGUGCGACAAAGUA